rnacentral:lncRNA from 1 species
GACGAUUGUGUGGAGGCCGCGAAGAGGCUCUUCUUGCAUGCAACACAUCAGAAAGCGAAAAAAAUGUCAACAACACAAAGAAGCAAGUACUGGGAGAGAGGAUUUGGGUUAGAAGCUAGAGAAAUUGAAAAAACCUUGGGAGAAAACUACAAAUCCACCAGUGACAGAGAGACUAGAGAGCGACAGUGAGGUGAGGAGGAGUCGGCGUUGCUAACUAAGUCGCGCAUCCGCAACUUAGUGAAGAUCGAUGACCCGAGUUAGCCGCGAUGGUUAAUCGGUCGAUGUCGGGAGGAGAGUGGAGGUUGGUUGGACGGUGGACAGUGGACCCGCUGGAAGUGGUGGAGCUCAGUGCUCAGAGAAGAGGCAGAGGCAUGUGUGACGUGAGGCGGCGUGGAAUGGAGAUUAGCGUCUCUACUCAGUGGCACCACUUUUAGAUUUAGGGCAAAUAAGGGUACAUUUCAAAACGACGUAGUAUAG